UCUAUCUAUCGUUAUCUAUCUACAUAUAUAUAUAUAUUUUUUUUUUGUGAGCUCCCAUUGCUUGUCUCACUGACCGGUUGCAUUCCGGUGCGUACACGCACGUGGUACGGUUGCCCCCUAUCUACGGUAAUUGUGCGUUCAAAGAAGUACGCACAGUUUAACAAUCCAACGAAAGUGUAAGACCCAACGAUAUAAAUGCGACACGUGCGUAACACGGCAAUACUGAAUAGGCUAUCGGGCGCGAUGAAAGAGACGCCAGUGAAGCAGGAGAUCAAGUUGGAGUGGGAAGGUCACGCUGAUGACAAUUCGUCUCACGUUCACGGGACGGAAGAUCAGAUGGUCGGCAGUCCUCAAAGUGUCAUUACGAGGAGGCAUGUGAGGACCAUCACUACUGCCGGCCACAUCGAGGAUAGUUCCGAGGUCGAUCCGGAAUCGCCGGACUCCAAUACUAUCAGCAGAAAUCUUCAUCGGGGACUUCACCAGCGGGCAGGAGAGCAACACGAACAAGCCCAGCAACGCGGCUACCAAGAAGAACAGCAGCAAACUCAUCAGACGCAGGGUCAUUACGUUCAGAUACCUCAUCCAGGCGUGGACGAGCAGCAACGAGCGACGGAUCAACAACGUGUUGUUUACGCCACUAGCAACGGCCAGCAAGUCCAAGUCGAGGUCUCUGAGACUCCGGAAGCUACUAUCACACUUACGGUCAAGGAACCGCCCAGAUACGAGACGCCCGCGCCCGACCGUAUGGAAGUGGACCGCAUCUACGCCUACUCGGAUGGCCACGAGAUGCGAAGGGAGAACCAUGUGAUCGCCGUGCAGGUGCCCGAUCAUCAUCGGCGAGCGCAGCAGGCCGCACAUAGCCAAAGAUUCAGUCCUCACGAGAAUCACCAAGCGUCCGGGUCGAGCAACAACAAUGCCAGAUACCAGGCGUCACCGGUAUUGGCCACGACGGAGGAUUACGACACGUCGACGAUCGUGACACAGCCGGGAUCCACGGUUCACCUGGGAUCGCCCGCACCGCCGUAUUCGCCGCCGAUCGAGGGCAUCCGCGCCGGGCAACAGCCUCAACAGCAACCACCGCAACAGCAACUCGUGGCGACGAGCUACGCCGACGUCAAGUACGACACCGAGGCCGCCGUGGCCGCGGAGAGUAUCAAAGCCUCCAACACGUACACCACUCUGGAGACGGUCGCUAUUCCAUCUACGCAGCCUGUCCAGUAUACACAGUACCUUUCAGCUAACGAGAAUUUCCAGCAGGCGUCUACGUAUAGCUACAGCAAGCAGGGUGACUCUGUGAUAUUGGCAUAUCCGCCGGCGACACAGCUGGGCUCGAGGUCCACCGAGGUGGAAUCACCCGCCAACGCAUACAUGAAGGGUGACCCUACAUUGGCAUCGUCCAUAUCCGCCGCAUCCCGGACGCUUCCGUUACACUAUGAGCAACCAGGUUCGCCAGGCUCGCAGGUAACGCUCUACAGCGCGGGCCCAGCGUCCUAUCAGUACAUGAAGCCGCCGCCGUCGAGCGAUCCUUACUGGACAGCCAGCACGCCUUCGCCCCCAACUCUAGAAUACGUGCAGGGCUAUUCUGGCGUCACUGCGAUCUCCGUCAGCGAGGGGACUAACAUGCAGAUAUACUCGGGCGGCGUCUAUAGCGUCGCUGCGAGUGGCAAUGGACCACCGACUGCGUGGACUACCCUUCCCCUGUCCGGCCCCGAGGAGACGUUCGACGGCGCCGUCAUGACAACGGAGCCGAAGGAAUGCGCAAACUGCGCGGCUAGUUUGACGCCAUUGUGGAGACGAGACGGCACCGGCCAUUAUCUGUGCAAUGCCUGCGGACUCUACAGCAAGAUGAACGGGCACAACAGGCCGCCGAUGAGGUGCCCCAAGCCGAAGCAGACGAUCACGCCGGUAAACAUUACGGGCGUGCGAAGAACGGGGGUGCAAUGCGCGAAUUGCAAGACGAGCAACACCACGCUCUGGAGACGAAACAACAGCGGCGAGCCGGUCUGCAACGCCUGCGGCCUUUAUUUCAAACUGCACAAUAUGAACAGGCCUCUGAGCAUGAAAAAGGACGGGAUACAGACGCGCAAGAGGAAACCAAAGAAUCAUACAAACCUCAGCGGCAACCUGCCCGGGCCGAGUGGCGUUCAUAAGACCGAUAUCAAGUCCAAUCUACUCGGUGAGUCUUCGGGUAUAAACUAUAUUUGGAAGAUGAGAAGCGAUGUUAUGGUACCUCAGAUAUCAUAAGAGGAUUUCACUUUGAAAGACCGACCAUUGGAAAGUGACAUUAAAGACGUUGACUGCCACGCUGAAGAACUCUAUCCAACCGAUAACCAAAUUGCUCCCGCGAAGACUGAUGCGAGUUAACGAGCUGGAAGCAGAGAUUCUUCCUCGCGUAUGUCAGCUCAUAUGUGGCAGUCAGUGUGUUAACAAGAAGAAAAUAAGAAAACGAGUGAAAAAGAGAAAUAAACUUGUUCUUUCCAGCAUUCCAAUCACAUUUCCUACAUAUUCCUCCAUCUUCGCACACCUCCCUGGUAUCCUCAUCAAUCGGCCGUGUUUAACGAGGUGGCUGGAUUAGUAGGUGUACCUACAGGUCGCGGACAGGGGUUGACCGAGACGCGUACCUGACGAAAUACGCGCGAGAGAAGGAGAGGGGAAGGAAAAUCACACACGAAACAUAAAACAGGAUUUUCACGUCGUUUUGCGAGCAG
rnacentral:misc_RNA from 1 species